rnacentral:rRNA from 1 species
CCAGCACCUGCGGUAAUUCCAGCUCCAAUAGCGUAUAUUUAAGUUGUUGCAGUUAAAAAGCUCGUAGUUGGAUUUCGGGCGGGUGACGGCGGUCCGCCUCUGGUGUGCACUGCUGCUCAUCCGCCUUACUGUCGGGGACGGGCUCCUGGGCUUCACUGUCCGGGACCCGGGUUCGACAUGGUUACUUUGAGUAAAUUAGAGUGCUCAAAGCAGGCUAUUCCGCCUGAAUAUUCGUGCAUGGAAUAAUAGAAUAGGAUGUCGAUCCUAUUUUGUUGGUUUUCGGGACUCGACAUAAUGAUUAAUAGGGGCAAUUGGGGGCAUUUGUAUUCAAACGACAGAGGUGAAAUUCUUGGACCGUUUGAAGACAAACUACUGCGAAAGCAUUUGCCAAGAAUGUUUUCAUUAAUCAAGAACGAAAGU